UAGAAAACAUACACAAAUUAACGCAUUUGUUUAAGACAGAUAUAACCUCUGACGUCAACAUGUACAAGUUCACCAAUACAAAAAACAAUAUUUUAAAACAAUUAUUAAAUGUGUAAUUUUUAUAAAACAAAUUUUCCUAAACAUUAAAAAUCAAUUAUAGAAAAAAAAAAUAAAUUUAUAGCGAUUUUUUACAUAUCUUUCACCGGGUUCCAAUUCAAAACAACAUAUUGUCAACACUGUUUAUCAACGUCUUUUCUUCGUCAACGGUUGUUGUCGUUUUUCGCUCGCAGAACGGAAUAAUACGGCAAGUGAAUUACUACAAUAAAAGUUUUUUUUUUGAAUUUUAACAAAUCAAAGAAUUUGUUUCAAUUGAAUUUAACAACUGCAACAUUUUAAUUUCAAUCAAAAUUUAAUAGAAUUUCAAAGCAAAGUUUUAAAUUACAUUGUGCUUGUAAAGAAUUUUUUGUGCAAAUUACAGAAAAAGCCAAGUUUCAAAAAUAAAAAAAAAGAACAAAAAAAAUUUUUUCUUCUCAUACAUACAUUGAGUAGUGAGUGCGUGUGUGUGUUUGUGUAUAAAAGUAUUUUUCUUUUCUACUUUCAACAAAAAAAGUUAAACAGCCAACAAACCAAACACCAGCUUAUAAACAGCCACCCUAAAAGAGUUUGUGGUUCAUUUUGAAAGGAAAACAAUAA